UGAUGAUGAUAUUGAUAACAAUCUCCCACAAGAUGGAGAAUUGCUGAGCCCGGAAGAACUAGCUGAACUCGAAGAAUUAGCAGCACAAUUAGAGCAAAGAGAAAGAAUAAGAGAUCAAGAACAACAGCAACAGAAUAGAAUAAAUAAUCCACAGCAAUUGAAUUGAGUUAGAAACCAAAAAGAAGGCCAACCAAAUCAUUUAAUUACACGACGUCGUCGUGGACGAGCAUCAAGAGCUGAAGAGCCUCAACAACAACAUAAUAUUAAUCCAUCUAAUGAUAAUAACAACAAUCACAACAUGCAAAAUUGUGUUGCUGUUAAUCGUCGUCGUGGACGGCCAUGCAGAGCUGAAGGAUUUUUAUCACAAAACGAAAUUAAUGCGGCUAAUAGUAAGAAAAAUAAUAACAAGAAUCAACUAUUACAAAAUCCAGUAGUUAUGAGACGCCCUCGCGGACGGCCACGACAAGCUGCAACUCCUGAACUGGUAGAGGAUGACAACGCACCCAAUCCACCAAUAUCCGGCAUACCUUUGUGUAUCAUUUGUACUGAAAAUCAAGCAAAUGUUAUAUAUAUACCAUGUAUCCGUUUUUGUAUAUGUGCUGAU